CGGAGCGUGGCCUAAUGGCUAGGGCACUCGGUUUGGGACCGAGCGAUUCCCGGUUCGAGUCCGGGCGCUCCGA
rnacentral:tRNA from 1 species